rnacentral:rRNA from 1 species
UCCUGACUGACCGAUAGUGAACCAGUACCGUGAGGGAAAGGCGAAAAGAACCCCGGCGAGGGGAGUGAAAAAGAACCUGAAACCGUGUACGUACAAGCAGUGGGAGCACCUAUAUGGUGUGACUGCGUACCUUUUGUAUAAUGGGUCAGCGACUUAUAUUCUGUAGCAAGGUUAACCGAAUAGGGGAGCCGCAGGGAAACCGAGUCUUAACUGGGCGAAUUAGUUGCAGGGUAUAGACCCGAAACCCGGUGAUCUAGCCAUGGGCAGGUUGAAGGUUGGGUAACACUAACUGGAGGACCGAACCGACUAAUGUUGAAAAAUUAGCGGAUG